AGUGAACGCUGGCGGUAGGCCUAACACAUGCAAGUCGAACGGCAGCACAGUAAGAGCUUGCUCUUACGGGUGGCGAGUGGCGGACGGGUGAGGAAUACAUCGGAAUCUACUUUUUCGUGGGGGAUAACGUAGGGAAACUUACGCUAAUACCGCAUACGACCUACGGGUGAAAGCAGGGGAUCUUCGGACCUUGCGCGAUUGAAUGAGCCGAUGUCGGAUUAGCUAGUUGGCGGGGUAAAGGCCCACCAAGGCGACGAUCCGUAGCUGGUCUGAGAGGAUGAUCAGCCACACUGGAACGGAGACACGGUCCAGACUCCUCCGGGAGGCAGCAGUGGGGAAUAUUGGACAAUGGGCGCAAGCCUGAUCCAGCCAUACCGCGUGGGGGAAGAAGGUCUUCGGGUUGUAAAGCCCUUUUGUUGGGAAAGAAAAGCAGCAGGUUAAUACCCCGCUGUUCUGACGGUACCCAAAGAAUAAGCACCGGCUAACUUCGUG
rnacentral:rRNA from 1 species